ACAUACGACCAUAGGGUGUGGAAAAUAGGGCUUCCCGUCCGCUCAGCCGUACUCAAGCCACACGCCGGGAGGUUAGUAGUUGGGUGGGUGACCACCAGCGAAUCCCUUCUGUUGUAUGUU
rfam:Aspergillus niger DNA, contig: scaffold669_007, strain: An76, whole genome shotgun sequence.